UACGUAGGGUCCGAGCGUUGUCCGGAAUUACUGGGCGUAAAGCGCAUGCAGGCGGAUUGUUAAGUCGGGGGUGAAAUCCCGAGGCUCAACCUCGGAACUGCCUUCGAUACUGGCAAUCUUGAGUCCGGGAGAGGUGAGUGGAACUGCGAGUGUAGAGGUGAAAUUCGUAGAUAUUCGCAAGAACACCAGUGGCGAAGGCGGCUCACUGGCCCGGUACUGACGCUGAGGUGCGAAAGCGUGGGGAGCAAACAGG
rnacentral:rRNA from 1 species